CUAAAACUUUUAUGUUUUAGAAAAUGGCUAAAUCGGAACGGACCACAGUGAAUAAACAUAAUAAAUUGGAUGAACUGAUUAAAACGGAACACUGGAAACAUCCUAAAAUAAUGAGGGUAUUUUGGUCUUUUCAUGGGCUACGUUUCUCCGAUUGAACUGAAAUUUUGUAGACAACCAUAAAAUGUCAUUCUAUACCACUUUCAUGUUUUAUAGUAAGCCUAAUUCGGCCUCUAACAUGAAGCACUAAAACCGAACAGAAUGGAAGUCAUAUUUUCCAGAAAUCUGGAAAUUUGGGAUUAAAU
rnacentral:lncRNA from 1 species